UUCAGCGAGGAGGAAAGGGUAGUAGUUAAUAACUGCUAUCUGUGACGUUACUCGCAGAAGAAGCACCGGCUAACUUCGUGCCAGCAGCCGCGGUAAUACGAGGGGUGCAAGCGUUAAUCGGAAUUACUGGGCGUAAAGCGUACGCAGGCGGUUUGUUAAGCAAGAUGUGAAAGCCCCGGGCUCAACCUGGGAAUUGCAUUUUGAACUGGCAAACUAGAGUCUUGUAGAGGGGGGUAGAAUUUCAGGUGUAGCGGUGAAAUGCGUAGAGAUCUGAAGGAAUACCGGUGGCGAAGGCGGCCCCCUGGACAAAGACUGACGCUCAGGUACGAAAGCGUGGGGAGCAAACGGGAUUAGAUACCCCGGUAGUCCACGCCGUAAACGAUGUCUACUCGGAGUUUGGUAACUUAGUUACUGGGCUCCCAAGCUAACGCAUUAAGUAGACCGCCUGGGGAGUACGGCCGCAAGGUUAAAACUCAAAUGAAUUGACGGGGGCCCGCACAAGCGGUGGAGCAUGUGGUUUAAUUCGAUGCAACGCGAAGAACCUUACCUACUCUUGACAUCCAGAGAAUUCGCUAGAGAUAGCUUAGUGCCUUCGGGAACUCUGAGACAGGUGCUGCAUGGCUGUCGUCAGCUCGUGUUGUGAAAUGUUGGGUUAAGUCCCGCAACGAGCGCAACCCUUAUCCUUAUUUGCCAGCACGUAAUGGUGGGAACUUUAGGGAGACUGCCGGUGAUAAACCGGAGGAAGGUGGGGACGACGUCAAGUCAUCAUGGCCCUUACGAGUAGGGCUAC
rnacentral:rRNA from 1 species